AUAUUCCAAAAAAUUUCAAAAUUCCAAAAAAUUUCAGAAUUCCAAGAAAUUUCAAAAUUCCAAGAAAUUUCAAAAUUCCAAAAAAUUUCAAAAUUUCUAAAAUUUCAAAAUUCCAAAAAAUUUAAAAAAUUAAAAAUUCCACAAAAUUUCAAAAUUCCAAAAAAUUUCAAAAUUCCACAAAAUUUCAAAAU
ensembl:ncRNA Y69H2.25 ncRNA